rnacentral:rRNA from 1 species
AGGGGGCUAGCGUUGUUCGGAAUUACUGGGCGUAAAGCGCGUGUAGGCGGUUGUCAAAGGCGGGGGUGAAAGCCUUGAGCUUAACUCAAGAAAUGCACUCGAUACUUGGUGACUAGAGGACCGGAGAGGAUAGUGGAAUUCCCAGUGUAGUGGUGAAAUACGUAGAGAUUGGGAAGAACACCAGUGGCGAAGGCGGCUAUCUGGACGGUUUCUGACGCUAAGACGCGAAAGCGUGGGGAGCAAACAGG